rnacentral:lncRNA from 1 species
CCUUCUCUGGCCGCGACGUGCAGAACGUCGUACCCGACCUGUUCUUCGCGGCGACGCCCGUCAUGGGCGUCGAGGUGCCGGAGCAGCUCCACCACCACCUCGAGGUGGCCCUUCUCCGCGGCGACCAGGAGCGGCGUCUCCCCGGCCUCGUUGGCCUCCGCGGCGACCAGGAGCGGCGUCUCCCCGGCCUCGUUGGCCUCCGCGGCGACGCUCUGGGCGUCGAGGUGCCGGAGCAGCUCCACCACCACCUCGAGGUGGCCCUUCUCCGCGGCGACCAGGAGCGGCGUCUUCCCGGCCUCGUUGGCCUCUCCGGCGACGCCCUGGGCGUCGAGGUGCCGGAGCAGCUCCACCACCACCUCGAG